CUCGUAGGCGGCCAACUAAGUCGGACGUGAAAUCCCUCGGCUUAACCGGGGAACUGCGUCCGAUACUGGAUGGCUUGAGAUUGGGAGAGGGAUGCGGAAUUCCAGGUGUAGCGGUGAAAUGCGUAGAUAUCUGGAGGAAUACCGGUGGCGAAGGCGGCAUCCUGGACCGACAUUGACGCUGAGGAGCGAAAGCUAGGGAGCAAACG
rnacentral:rRNA from 1 species